UACGUAGGGGGCUAGCGUUAUCCGGAAUUACUGGGCGUAAAGGGUGCGUAGGUGGUUUCUUAAGUCAGAGGUGAAAGGCUACGGCUCAACCGUAGUAAGCCUUUGAAACUGGGAAACUUGAGUGCAGGAGAGGAGAGUGGAAUUCCUAGUGUAGCGGUGAAAUGCGUAGAUAUUAGGAGGAACACCAGUUGCGAAGGCGGCUCUCUGGACUGCAACUGACACUGAGGCACGAAAGCGUGGGGAGCAAACAGGAUUAGAUACCCCGGUAGUCCCUGAGCGGG
rnacentral:rRNA from 1 species